rnacentral:rRNA from 1 species
GACGAACGCUGGCGGCGUGCCUAAUACAUGCAAGUCGAGCGCAGGAAACCGUCUGAACCCCCCGGGGGACGACGGCGGAAUGAGCGGCGGACGGGUGAGUAACACGUAAAGAACCUGCCCAUAGGUCUGGGAUAACCACGAGAAAUCGGGGCUAAUACCGGAUGUGUCAUCGGACCGCAUGGUCCGCUGAUGAAAGGCGCUUCGGCGUCGCCCAUGGAUGGCUUUGCGGUGCAUUAGCUAGUUGGUGGGGUAAUGGCCCACCAAGGCGACGAUGCAUAGCCGACCUGAGAGGGUGAUCGGCCACACUGGGACUGAGCACGGCCCAGACUCCUACGGGAGGCAGCAUG